GAUGAACGCUGGCGGCGUGCCUAACACAUGCAAGUCGAACGGAGAGGUGAUGUGUGCGGUUGAAUUGCUUGCAAGGAAACCAAACUUUUCAUUUUCUUAGUGGCGGACGGGUGAGUAACGCGUGGAUAACCUGCCUCGAUCCGGGGGAUAGCAGUUGGAAACGACUGGUAAUACCGCAUGAGCGCACACUGUGGCAUCACAGAGUGUGAAAAGGUUUAACGGGACGAGAUGGAUCCGCGUCUGAUUAGCCAGUUGGCGGGGUAACGGCCCACCAAAGCGACGAUCAGUAGCCGGCCUGAGAGGGCGGACGGCCACAUUGGGACUGAGACACGGCCCAGACUCC
rnacentral:rRNA from 1 species